CUACCCUUGACAUGCCAGGAACGCUGCAGAGAUGCGGCGGUGCCCGAAAGGGAGCCUGGACACAGGUGCUGCAUGGCCGUCGUCAGCUCGUGUCGUGAGAUGUUGGGUUAAGUCCCGCAACGAGCGCAACCCUUGCCAUUAGUUGCUACGAAAGGGCACUCUAAUGGGACUGUCGGUGACAAACCGGAGGAAGGUGGGGAUGACGUCAGGUCCUCAUGGCCCUUAUGGGUAGGGCUACACACGUCAUACAAUGGCCGGUACAGAGGGCUGCCAACCCGCAAGGGGGAGCCAAUCCCAGAAAACCGGUCGUAGUCCGGAUCGCAGUCUGCAACUCGACUGCGUGAAGUCGGAAUCGCUAGUAAUCGCGGAUCAGAAUGUCGCGGUGAAUACGUUCCCGGGUCUUGUACACACCGCCCGUCACACCAUGGGAGCGGGUUCUGCCAGAAGUGGUUGGCCUAACCGCAAGGAGGGCGUCCACCACGGCAGGGUUCGUGACUGGGGUG
rnacentral:rRNA from 1 species